rnacentral:lncRNA from 1 species
GGCACCAGUAUCUAUAGAGAAGCAUGUAUAGUUGAAUGGUCGUGCCAGCGGUAGCGGUACUAGCAGCGAUGGCAUUAUUCUAUGAGGAAAUCUGUGAACCUCUCUAGUGAAUCCGAAUAGGCGAGAAGGUCCGUACCAGAUAGUAAUAGCCUUGUCUUUCGUCUUUCUUUAUAGCGAAGAGGAGUUGCGGUGACACGAAACCAAAGUAAGCCAAAUCGAAUCAACGUAUUCGACGUAGUUCCGAAUCCGCGGACCGUUUGGAGGUGAGAGGCAACCGACGUGCGGUGAUUCACAGGGCAUUGAAACAGACAGGUUCCCAUACAGCAGCAGUGUGCGGGGAGAGAGAGCAGUUGCAGUGGUAACGGCGCUGCUAGUGCCACCACUUAAUGGCCGUACUGACCUAACAAAAGCUUCCCUUUCACCCAUCGUUUCUAGCCUUCACCGAAAAGCAGCGAGCGCCAAAGUGAAAGCAAGCGCAACGGAACCCCUGGCCCCCGCUCGCGGUUAUGCCGAGAAAGAAACAUUUAGCGUUUUCGUGAUAAACACCCUGCCACUCUUCGCGGCUUAACAAUAGCUAGCCAUCAUCAUCUAAAAAGAUUGGCAAAGCAAAGGCAUGAGACCGCGUGAGAUCGACAAAUCUCACUAACCUACUAGUUAGCGUCCGUAGGCAAUUUGAGCUGCCACGGUGGCCCGAGGCCUCCAAGUGACGCGUUUGCGAACCCUUCAGUGGACGGUCGAUCGAAGAGUUUUAGGGCGAUGAUCUGUGACCUGCUAUAAAAGGUGGCAUCAUACAGUGUUGAGCUCGGCAUAGAUGGCGUCUAUUUGAUUUCCGGUUCUGAACCAUAUCUCCAUGAGCUGAAGAGCUGAGCGGUAUCUUCCACUGGCCGUAUACGCAAGAGUCUGCUUCAGUCGGGGUGACCAGACCGGUUCUUCAACGGCAUACCGACCGAACGGAUUUACCAGGAUAAGGCUAUAACUCCAGCUUCCUAAGCGACGUAAAGAAGCACAACGGCUAUGAAAUAGAGAAGCACAGUGAUUCCUUUGCAUUGAGAAAAUACCCACUGGUUUAUUUGCGGACCUUUUCGAUCUGAGGCGAUACGGUCCAAGCAGAGGGAGAAAGAAAAAAAGGACAUUUUCCGGAGAUGCCCGCCUGCUGAGCCACUUAGCUUUGAGACCGAAAGAACCUCGCCAGUUAGUCUAACGAAAGACGAUGGUCAGCCCCUACCUCAGAGGAGCAGAUCAACUGCACGUAGUGCUAAAGCCCCACAGAUGGUGGCAGUCAUCACCUAACCCUUUAUGCAGUCAGACUGAAGCUGAGUGGAGGUGGAGAUCGUAGUAUACUACAUGGAACAGAAAGCAGUUAGUACAGCCUCGAUAGAAAGCCUUUCUAUCCGCCCACUUCCCGCCCACUGGCCAACAAGUUAGUCAACCCAACGAGCCAUACACUCGAACGUCGGCCCAUCCAGCAGCCCUCUAAAUGGUAGAUCGGUUUUGCCACUUCCUGCCUGUAGCAUCUAUUGCUAAACAUAUGGGGAAUAGGCAGUUAAAAUACAAACGCAGGCUUCACUAAGUCUCUUGGGCAUUUGAAGUUCGGUAAAUUUAACCGAAGAGACCUUUCUUGUUAUACUAAUCUAGUAAAUUUUACAAGACCAUAACCGCCGGCGAAGGCUGCGUGAUAUGUUCGACCCUUCGUUUCGGAUAAAUCUGCCUGUAUGACACAAGAGGCAAUAAGUCGUCAAAAUAAAAGGUAUUUUCCUCAAAUAACCAAUUACCGCCAAGCCGCUAACAACGUUUAUUCAAAAUAAAACUAAAUGAAAAAAUAACGCUUUUAAAGCGUUUCGAAAAUACUUGUACACGCAAGGUGUAAAUUGAAACCUCUAAUUAUUGCAGUAUAACAUAGUUCGAUUAUUAUAUUUGCUAUAAUACACAAGUAUAGAUACAUUACAAACAUAUAAAUCAGUCGGUUCUUAUACAGUUCGGGAAUAAAAACAGGUUUUAUGAAAGAGGUCCUGGAAAGCUCUCUUGGGUAGUAUCGCGAACCCUUGCAACUUCUUUUCGAUAGCCCAUGUUUACUUUUAAUUUUUACAAUUUUGACGCCAGCCGCUCGAAGAUGAACAA